rnacentral:lncRNA from 1 species
GCCCAGGCGCGUAAGUGCGCGGACCGGCCUAGGCCCAGGCUUGCGAGGCACAGGCCAGGCCCAGAAACCCACUAGGAGCCCAUUUGCUCGAUCCACUGUGGAUCGGGUGAUGCAUAGAGGAGGGCGUGCACCACAUGGGCAUUUUCCACGCAUUUCUUACGGUCCACGGCACUAUUCCAAUACCCAAGAGAGAAGAAAGCCAAGAAUUAUUCUUGACUUGAGAAAGAAAAAAAUCAAGAAAGGUUCUUGAUAAAAGGAAGAA